CCAAAUCCGCGAGGGAGAGAUUUAAGACGCUGCCGUGUGAGAGGAAGGCGUCGACGUGGGUCUCCCCGGUUCACCAACAAAUUCAUUCCGUUGAAGCAUUGAAGUGUGCCCAUGGAUCUCUCGAAGCUAGCUCGGGGACCUUAUGAGGCUGGUGACGCCCCGCUCGCGGUAGAUUGCUCAUCAGAGCAAAACUGCGAUGUGAUCCUGCCGCACCGUGAUUCGGCCUCAUCACGACCUCAUCUCUAGUGAGAAACCAUCCUAUUGCCCGCUUACUGUUCUCCAAUGCAUAGCACCGAGAAUCGUGGUGUGCAUAUCCCCUUAACCACGGGAAUCGCUUGCAUUUGUUUACUGUAGGUAUCAUAUAAAUUUUAAUUUACAAAUCCAUUCUUUAAGGACGUGAGUCCAAUUCCACUGUA
rnacentral:lncRNA from 7 species